rnacentral:rRNA from 1 species
UGGUGACAAUAGCAUUGUGGUCCCACCUGAUCCCAUCCCGAACUCAGAAGUGAAACGCAAUCACGCCGAUGGUAGUGUGGGGUCUCCCCAUGUGAGAGUAGGUCAUCGCCA